rnacentral:lncRNA from 1 species
GCAACUUUUCCUAGAUAACAAUAAAAUUUACAAAAUAAACGUUCAAAUUCAGGAAAUAGAAAAGAAGAAAACAAGUAGAAAAAGGCACAGCUCAACAAGGUUAUGUGUUCUCAUUUUAAUGGUAGAUAAGCCAUUUCUCUGAAUAUUCUUAAAGGCAUAUAUACCAUCUUAAAGUUAUAUUGGAAUUUCAUAAUGGACUGAAAUUUUAGCAGGUUGAUGUUCAAGCAAUGAGUUAACAAAAGUUUAUGAAUCACAGUUUAGGCAUGGUGUAUUGAUGCCACAUCAUUCAGCCUAACUUAGGCUAAAUAUGAAAUGUGCUAAGAUUUAGCACGUGGAGAAAAAUACACAAGAAGUGAAGACAUAUGACAAUUAAGUUGUGAUACUGCAUAGAGGGCGAAAAGUUAAAGGCAUUUUUCAAAUAAGACUAAUAUUAUCUUUUACAAGGUAAAGUAAUACUUGAUCUACUACACAACAUUAUCUAAUUAAUUAAAUCAAACACCAAUGAUAAGUUGAUAUACAUAACCAAAACAGAGUAUUGGCUGGAUGGUUUCACAUAAACCAAACCGAACCAAAUGAUAUAGCAUCAAAUCCAUUUAAGGCACUCUUUGGUUGGAUGGUUUUAGUAAAAUAGUUUUUUUUCUUAAACCAAAAUGUUUAGAAUUUUAUGAAACUAGUUGUUUGGGAAAGAAUUCUUUUUACAGUUUUACCAAAUCUGGGUAUCUCAUAAAACAGGAAAAUUAGGUUUUAUGAAAGAACUAGGGUUCCACAUUUUUCUCAAAACCGGCUCUCCCAAAUCUCAGUAUUCAGGAUUACAUGGAUUCUUGCCACCAUUCCGCCCAUCAACCCUGCUAAAAAUUUACGAUUAAUCUUUAACCAUGCUAUAUAACCUCAGGUCCUCACGUCUUCCCUUCCUCUUGAAUAUUUCCAUUUCAAAUUUCUGGUUCCACAUUUUUCUCAAAACCGGCUCUCCCAAAUCUCAGCAAUCAGGAUUAUAUGGAUUCUUGCCACCCUUCCACCCAUCAACCCUGCUAAGAAUUUACGCCUAAUCUUUAACCAUGCUAUAUAACCUCAGGUCCUCACGUCUUCCCUUCCUCUUGUGUAUUUCCAUUUCAAAUUUCUCCACCUCUUGCCAAGCAAAAAUCUAGUAAAAUAUGUUUUAGCAAAACAUAUUUUCAACAAGCUCUGGUUUUCACACAGUUUUUAUAAAACUGAUAACCAAACACCACGUAAUGGUACAUUACAAGCCUGAAAACCAACCGUGUAUGUAUAGAGAUAGAGAGCGAGCGAGCGAGCGAGAGAGAGAGAGAGAGAGACUAUGCUAAGGUCGUCCAGAUUUGAGGUCAGACCAUUAGGUGAAAUUUGAAAAUACGAGUUCCAAAACAGAUCCAAACUGAUGAAUAUGAACUAAUACCUCGAAACUAUCUAUAAAUAAAACUAAUAUAUUUUUGGAGACUCCUCACCGUGCAUCAACUUGUCAAAAUGGACAAUUUAAAAUAACAUGAUAGACUGCCAAUUUGUGACCUUUGGUGAAUAGCAAUGGGUCUCCAAAAUGAAUAAUUUUUAGUUCAUAGGUAGUUCAAAAGUAUUAAAUCACAUUCAAGGGC